CUGGCUCAGGAUGAACGCUAGCUACAGGCUUAACACAUGCAAGUCGAGGGGCAGCAUGGUAUUAGCUUGCUAAUACCGAUGGCGACCGGCGGAUGGGUGCGUAACGCGUAUCCAACCUGCCUGUGUCCCGGGCAUAGCCCGUGGAAACGCGGAUUAACUCCCGAUGGUGCAGACGUGCCGCAUGGCGUGUCUGCCAAAUGCGAAGGACACAGAUGGGGAUGCGUACCAUUAGGUAGUCGGCGGGGUAACGGCCCACCGAGCCGUCGAUGGUUAGGGGUUCUGAGAGGAAGGUCCCCCACACUGGUACUGAGACACGGACCAGACUCCUACGGGAGGCAGCAGUGAGGAAUAUUGGUCAAUGGCCGAGAGGCUGAACCAGCCAAGUAGCGUGCAGGAAUGACGGCCCUACGGGUUGUAAACUGCUUUUAUGCGGGGAUAAAGAUUCGCACGUGUGCGAAGUUGCAGGUACCGCAUGAAUAAGGACCGGCUAAUUCCGUGCCAGCAGCUGC
rnacentral:rRNA from 1 species